GAGGUUACUGAAGAAUUUGAUAAAAUUAUAAAGGAUACUUAGUACAAGAGAACUGUGACCAUACAGAAUUCGCUUCUACAUUCAUAAAUUAAUGGGGGUGGUGGUAGGAAAAUAAGUAAAGUUUAUAAAUAUUACUGUCUUUAAAAAAUUGUAUGCCCUUAAACGCCAGCCAUAACAUUUUCACAACAACUUUCUUCAUCCUUCAGAAAAAGCUUGGAGGUAUAUCUCCAAGGUGGCGUUAGUCAUUUGUGUCACUGAAGCCUUGAUUCUUUUCCUUGAACUGAUUCUUCUGGCAUUUCCACAUCCCCUGUUACACUUUACCUUAUAUUUUGGCUCGUUUCUGCUGUGCUCAUUUUCUCAGAGAGGGAAUAUAACACUGGCCAGGCUAAUUUUUUCUCCCUAAAGUAUAAUCACCUAUAAACAAAAGAAAGGACACGUGUAAGCAUUUGGGAUUAUACAUAAUAAAGUAAAAGUCCCCUGCCCCAAGCUGGGGAACCAUGCCAUGUUGUGGCAGGGUGAAUAUGUGGGUAAAGAAGGGAAUACAGAAGUAUUAUAACACACAGUUAGUUGACCCCUAAGGAAGAGGUCACAAGCUUUAGAUGUCAACCUCUACCCAUGAGCAUACUACGAGAGCAGAGAGCAGAAGUGGUUUAUAGGUCAUAGUCUGGGUAGAUUCUCAGGAAAACGCCAGAUCCCAAAGUUUGAUAAACAUUUCACAGACCAUGUUUAUACUCUUAUGCUCACCAGCUCUAUGAGAGUGGGAUACAUAGUAGUCUACUGGUCCCAACAUCUUUGAAAAUAAUCCCUGAUCUAAAAUUUCUGAGGUUCAUAUGCCCUGCAUGACAAACCUCAGUGAAAAGUGACAAUUGGUGGUACAGCUUCUUAUUAAGGAGCCUACACAUUUUACAGUAGAUUUCAGGAAUGCAUUAGGGGCUUUCAGUAAUGAAUUUCCCAACCUCGUAUUCUCGUUUUCUUCUGAAGACAUGGAAAGAAGCGUAACACUCAAGGUUGACUCAGUGCUUACAAGUCUUCUGGAUUGGAUUCUCAUGGGAACUUGUAAUUCCAUGGCCUGAAAUGUGCAUUUUCAGGGGAAAAACUAAUAACUUCUUUGAUCAGCAGUACAAUUUUUUUCUGAGAAAUUCAUAGAGGAGACAGUUUGAGGGUAGAAGAAACAGAGGGCAGCAGAAAGGGCCAUUAUGCGAAGCUACAGGAAGAGAAAGCAAACUGGAAAACAGGAUCGCAUUCUCUCCUCCAGUGUUCCAGGAUCCUUCCUUUGUCCAGCAUUCAGGGAAACUCAUAGGAAAUCACCUGCAAAAGGAGAAUGUAGUCUGCAGAAUAAAAGUCCUGGCAUUUCAGAAGGAUUCAUUUAGAAGUGAAGGAAACUUAAAAGGAGCUCAAUUUUAAGAUUGAGAAGAAGUUUCAUUGUAAGCCUUGGAACAAAUAAGAGGAGAGGGUGUGAAAGAGAAAUUGCAAUGGUAUGAGUGAACCUGG
rnacentral:lncRNA from 1 species